AGGCAGACAGUUCCUGGGACUGCUCUCCUGCAGCUGCAGUGGCAGUGAUGGAUUAUCUGGGAAGGUGAAGCAGCUGAGCUGAUCUGCCCCCUCCCCUUCCACCCACACAUCCACCCCUCAGGCUACAGGGUUUCAGGGUAGCUUUAAUCCCUCUUAGCCUCCCCUCUCCCACGGAUCCCAAGACAAGCCCCCGGAGUUGCUGGGCCUGGAGAGCAUCCUCCCAAGCUGUUUCCUGAAAUCCAAGCCUGAAAAACAGGAGUUGGCCUUCAGGUGCUUGCCAGAAGCCCCCAUUCAUUACCCUGCUGGGAAGGACUGUUUGAGGAGUGCGGAGCUGAGAAGGAUUCUCUGAAUCUGGCCUCAGAGGGAGUGUUGAUGGUUCAAGAGUGGCUUGUUCAAGAUCUUGUGUUCAAUACUUGAUACAAGUAACACACAAAGCCUGGGAGAAAGCGGAUGGAGCAAACCCUGGGACCAGUUUGGACGGUGACAGUGAAUCUGUUUCUAAAGAUCAUUCUCUGCUGCUGCUGCUGCUAAGUCGCUUCAGUCGUGUCUGACUCUGUGUGACCCCAUAGACGGCAGCCCACCAGGCUCCCCCGUCCCUGGGGUUCUCCAAACAAGAACACUGGAGUGGGUUGCCAUUUCCUUCUCCAGUGCAUGAAAGUGAAAAGUGAAAGUGAAGUCGCUCAGUCAUGUCCAACUCUUCGAGACCCCAUGGACUGCAGCCCACCAGGCUCCUCCGUCCAUGGGAUUUUCCAGUGCAAAGUCUGGGCUUCAGUUUCUUCAUCUAUAAUACAGAGAAGAUUGACUCAGAGGCCUUCAAACUGUGCUCCACAGAGGACUCUAGACUUCCUGGAAGAGCUCCAUGGUCUACUUUGAAGAACAAAGGCCACACACCAGGUUUCAACCAGAGAAGCUCCAUUUCUAUCUAUUUGUAUCUAUGAAGCUCCAUUUUUAUCUAUUAUACAUUAGGCUGUGAAUAAUAGUUCAUUUGAAAAAAAAAAGGAAUGAGGCUAGAUGUCAGUAAAAUGGCAAAAUAGGCAGAUCCAAACACCUGCCCCCAAAGAGUACUACUCACAAUAGUCAAAAAUCAGAUGCCCACUGAUGGAAGAAUGGAUAAACAAAUUGUAGUGUAUGCAGAGAAUGGAAUGUUACUCACCCAUAAAAAGGAAAUACUGAUAUAUGCUACCAUGUGGACAAACC
ensembl:lncRNA